AUACGUAGGGGGCAAGCGUUAUCCGGAUUUACUGGGCGUAAAGGGCGUGUAGGCGGUCUUGCAAGUCAGAAGUGAAAUUCCUGAGCUCAACUCGGGCGCUGCUUCUGAAACUGCAGGACUUGAGUGCUGGAGGGGGUAGCGGAAUUCCUAGUGGAGCGGUAAAAUGCGCAGAUAUUAGGAAGAACACCGGUGGCGAAGGCGGCGUUCUGGACAGUAACUGACGCUGAGGGGAGAAAGCCUUGGGAACAAACAGGGUUAGAUACCCUGGUUGUCCACGGCGUAAACGAUGAAUACUAGGUGUAGGGGGUAUCGACUCCCUCUGUGCCGCAGUUAACACAAUAAGUAUUCCGCCUGGGGAGUACGGCCGCAAGGUUGAAACUCAAAUGAAUUGACGGGG
rnacentral:rRNA from 1 species